GUCCAUAUUCUUAUGUUCUGGACUUUGAAUGAAUCUUCCAUUCAUGGUAUAGUCCAUACCCUUUGGCAUUUUAUUUGUUGAGUCAUAGAUUAGUAUAAUACUUUAACCUUGAAAAGGCGUAUGAAUUGAUCUGUGUAAUAAGUCACUUGAGGCUCUAGAAAGAGGAUCAUUAGUCAUAAUUUUCCUUUCAAAUAAAUUAUACCUAGAUCACUUUAUCUGACUUGCUUGUGUGAAAGUAAUGCCAGAACUUGAAUUGUAAACAUAGAAAAUGAAAAGCACUGGGUGGCUUAUCUGCAAAAGAAUGUGUUUGUUUGACUCCCACUAGUUACGUACCAAUUCAAGAAAAUAUCUGAAACUAUUAUAUGUCAAGUUCUUUCUCUUUUUCCUAUCUUGGCUGGAGUUAUUUGAUACCAUGGCUUAUCUGCAAAAGAAUGUGAUUUUUUAACUCCCACUAGUUACAUACCAAUUCAAGAAAAUCUCUGAAACUAUUAUAUGUCAAGUUCUUUUUGGCUGGAGUUAUUUGAUACCAAGGGCAGAGGAAGGAUGUUACAAAAACUGGGUUGGGCUAACAUAGAGACAGCCUUGACUCUAUGAGGAGUCUCACAUGAAUUUGUUGGUUGCUUCAUUGCAUAUUGCAGCCCAUAGAUUUUUCAUUUCCUAGCAGCUUCUUGCUUAUAAACACAACCCUCAAACAAGCCCAGCAAGAAAUUCAAAGAAUUCCUCCUGACAACUGCAUAAUUGUGUGUGGUUUACAUGGUUGGUGGCUAUCAUCCUAAUCUUUUUUAUUUCUAUGUGCGAAACCACAUAUCGGAUCUAGCUCUGCAUAGAGCAUGUCAUAGACUGAAAAUUUCCUUUAAUUUCAUUAAUUAGGAAUCUCAUUCCUCAAUUUUUUCUUUGUUCUUUGAUCUUUUCAAUGACAACAACAAUGGAUAUAUCGAGUUUGCAGAGUUUGUGCAGACAUUGAGUUUUUCCACCCAAAAAUCCCUGAUGCAAUCAAAAUUACUUAUGCUUUUGAAUUGUAUGAUUUGGGGCGCACUGGUUACAUCGAGUGAAGGGAGUGUUUAUUGAUAUUUUCCUAGCCUGGCGGUGGAUAGUCCCUUUUCAACUGCAAGUGAUAACUUGAUCGUUGCAUUGUGACAAGUGGAGGAAAAGAAGGAAAUACCUUCUGUUGUUUACCAGUUCAAUUCUUCCAUCAACUUUUUCUGCAAGGCCAAAAUGAUGGAUGAUGCAUUGAAGACGUACAGAAGAAUGCAAGAGAUGAAAAUUCAACCCACUGAGCAAACACUUACCUAUCUGUUAUAUGCGAUCUUGUGGGGGAACAUUAAGAGGAAUAUGGAGAGUGGAAAUUUGGUGGUAAGCAGAGAUCUACAUGAGUACUUGCUACUGAACUGUCUUCGUGGUGGCUACUUUGAGAGAGUGAUGGUGGUCCUUGACUUUAUGAAGGAACAUGGCAUGUGCACCGACAAGUGGUUGUACAGGAGUGAGUUUGUAAAACUUGAUAAGAAUCUUUAUAGGAAUUUAAAGGCGUCAGAAGCCAGAACUGAGGCUCAGUUGAUUGAAGAGAAGUUCAAUAUGAACUGGGAUGAUUUACUGCAAGAAAAGCCAUUUAUGGUGCACUGCGACUCUCAUUGACCUAAACCAAUUACCUUCUACAGCUCCGAGUUUCCUAAACUAACACUGAUUUAAAGUUAGGGGAGCAGUGUAACUGCCAUCAACUCCUAUAACUCUUUUCCUUAAGUUUAGGUUAGUUCCCUCUUAAUUAGGUAUUCUUCAGAGUUCCUACCUAGAACUCCCAUAUAAACUAGAAAGUUGAAGGUUGUGCAACAGCGAAUAUGGAAGAUGCAUUAUGGUUCUCAGGUGAAACCAAACUCAUACUCCAUUUGUAAUGUCUGAAUCAUGCCGGGGAGGGACAUGCCAUCAUGGAAUACAAUGAUUACUGGUUUCAUUCAGAAUGGGGAUUUAAAGCGGGCGAAGGAGUUGUUUAUUCAAAUGCCGCAAAAGAAUGUCAUCUCAUGGACUACGAUGAUCACAGGGUAUGUACAAGAUGGGCAAAAUGAAAAAGCAUUGAUGAUUUUUUCAAAAAUGCUGGUGGAUAAUGGAGUGAAACCAAAUCAGGGAACUUUUGUGAAUGUUCCAAGUGCUUGUAGUAACCGAGCUGGUUUCAGUGAGGGACAAUAAAUACACCAGAUGAUAAGUAAAACAGUGCCCAAAAAAAAAAAAAAAAAA